AGUUGUGUUACAUGUUGAUAUCCAGUGCAAUAGAUGUGUGAUGAAUUAUGAUUGUGGUUAUGAUGCUAAGCAGGGGUGUAUGAAUGAAUAUUGUGUGAGAAAGCAUGUUGUGUGAUGUAUUGAGCUUCAGAGUGUUCAUUGUUGUAUGUGUUGUUCACAAGAAAGCAUGAAUGAUAUUGCCUUAAUCUUGAUGAUUGAUUGAAUUGCAUGUGAAUGUCAUAUGAUCAAGGCCAUUUUUGAAUACCCUUCUCUAAGCCAAAUUUUCACCCAACGUGCUUGAAAUAUUAUACCCUUUUUGAACCUUAGCCUUAAACAGGAUGAGAACCCUUGAUUUGAAAUUCUUUACCUUGAGUUGGGAUGAGCUUAAUUGUAUGUGUGAAAAAGGUUCAAGUUUGGGGUUGUAUGGGAGAAAUUGAAAAGCAAUUGUAAAGCAUUGAGCUCAAAUGUUGAAAAAGAAAAAUGCAUGAGAAACAGAAAAGAAAAGAAGAAAAGCAUGAAAGAGAGCUCAAUGUAAAAGAAAAGGGAAGAAGUUGGGAAUAAGUGAGAUUGGUGAGGAAGAGAGUUGUGCUUAAAUUUUGAAUAUUAUGGUAGCUCUCUUAACUCAAGGACUUUGUAUUCUAGAAAAAACCAAUUCUUCUUGUUAGCCCAGCCUCAUUACAACCUUGGAAAAGUCCUUUUGAUGGCAUUUGCAU
rnacentral:lncRNA from 1 species